GUAUGGCGAAGCGACAAUGAAGGACACUCACCCGGACGAGAAUUUUAUUGAGUUUUAUUUUGAAAUCGGCCUGAAAUACACAGACAUUCAAGCAGUGCGAUGCGCUAAGAGUCUGCCAUGCAGACCAGCGAUCCUGAUAAUGAUGCUAUCAACAGCAUGUCUUGUUCAUUUUAUUAAGUUGUCGGCCUUGGAUGAUGAGGUCCAGUUACCAGGAGCACUAGUCUGCAGCUUACUGGUUCCGUCCUGCAGCUCCUCCACGCCGUCCUCCUCUCUACAGACCAAAUCAAGAAAAGGGAACCAGGAAGCUGCUUUGGAUCCUCUGCAGUAUCUGGAGAGGUCAGAGGAACGGUUCUUGGAACAGAUCGGAAGACACCAAGACGUGACCUCUGCCAUUCUCCAGAACAUCCAGAAGAUGAAUGAAAACCUUGGUUGCACUGAUGGGACGCAUGGCGUCGGUGCUGGAGCAACUGUCCCAGAAUUAAACUGCAUUGUUGACUAUUGGCUUUUCUAGAAAAUAAAUCUUUUUUAGUACUUCA